ensembl:lncRNA LINC00877 long intergenic non-protein coding RNA 877
GGUGAGAAUUCUGUGAGAUUAUGCAUGCAAAGUGCUGAGCAUGGGGCCUGGCUCAUAGAAAGUAUCAAAUAAGUGGUAGACAAGUUGUCAUUUUCACUUGUGGUUGAUAAUUUCCACUUUUGCCUUUCUGCAGCCCAGAGACAGAAGCAGAUAAUGCAAGUGUCAUCUACAUCUGGCAAAAGCCAAAGGUUUGGAAGAUGGAAAAAGGAAUCCAGGCAAAAAGGAGCCCAAGAUUGAAGUGAAUGACCAGGUGCACCAGUUCAAAUGCAAUCAGGAGGGACAGGGGUAGAGGGAGAAGCCUAGAGCAGCGCUUCUCAAACUGACUAUUCAAGUCACCUGGAGAUCUUGGUGAAAUGCAGACUCUGGUGCAGUAGGUCCUGGCGGGAACUUGAAAUUCUGCAUUUUGACCAAGGUCCAAGGUGAAUGUCCAGUGCUGUUGUCCUUGGCCUGCAGCAGGAGGAGCAGGGAUCUAAGACUUGGAGAGCAAAUGUCAAGCUCAGAAGAAAGACUGGAAGUUUGGGGACAAAACCCAAAUAUGGCUAAAGAAAGCCUGUAGGAUGAAGUUGGAAGUUCCAGAGCCUUCUCUUCACAUAAUGGGACAUGCAAGGGGGAAACCAAAUCAAAAGUGUAGAAUGCGUCGCUGGAUGUCUUUGACAUGUUAUUGUUCUGAUAGAAUAUCAGCGGGGAGCUACUGAGGACCUCCUCACUACCCUCCCUUGGAAGAGUUUGUCUGCAAUGGAGCCAACACAGUGGAAAGCAGAGCUGAGAAAUGGACAAACAACUCCUGAUGCCUCAUUUGAGCACCUGGAUUUAGCCAUGUCUGAAGCUAUUAUAUCCUUGAACUUUUGAAUCAUGUAGGUUACCAUAAUUCCUUUUUUGUUAAAGCUAAUUUGAGUUGGGUUUCUAUCACUUGCAAUCAACAAUUGACCAGGUGCUUAGUACAUAAUGAAUGAGUGAAUGAACAAAUUCAAUUCUGUAAGUAUUUAUCAUCUCCUUACACGGCAGGCACUGUUUUAAGUCCCAAAGAAAGAGGCAGAGGAGCGACAGAGAUGACUUCCUCCCUUGAAAACGAAGCAUGUGGCCUGACAACCUAAAAUUGGGGUCAAUCCAUCCAAUUAUGGUGACUGCUUAGAAAUAUCCCUUUUCCUCCCAACGUUUUCCUUUCCUUCUCCCAUAAACAUAAUAAUGUCUCCUGCCAGUACUAAGGCAUGGCCCAUGGACCCACUAACACCUAUGCUCACGUUAGCUCUUGAGGCCGAGUGGCUUGGUUCUAUCUGGUUAUCAGAUGCAAACUUCAUCACAGCAGGGAUUUGGGCUAGACAUUAGAGGAAUAGUGUGGUACCAGAUGGUGUUUCUGAAGAAGGUUGUCCUAUUUUUGCAGUUUAAGGAUUUGAUAAUAAAUCUGCCUGGCAGCCCUCAGAUGUGA